CUUGGAGGUUGUGCCCUUGAGGCGUGGCUUCCGGAGCUAACGCGUUAAGUCGACCGCCUGGGGAGUACGGCCGCAAGGUUAAAACUCAAAUGAAUUGACGGGGGCCCGCACAAGCGGUGGAGCAUGUGGUUUAAUUCGAUGCAACGCGAAGAACCUUACCUGGCCUUGACAUCCACGGAAUUCGGCAGAGAUGCCUUAGUGCCUUCGGGAACCGUGAGACAGGUGCUGCAUGGCUGUCGUCAGCUCGUGUUGUGAAAUGUUGGGUUAAGUCCCGCAACGAGCGCAACCCUUAUCCUUUGUUGCCAGCGAGUAAUGUCGGGAACUCAAAGGAGACUGCCGGUGACAAACCGGAGGAAGGUGGGGAUGACGUCAAGUCAUCAUGGCCCUUACGGCCAGGGCUACACACGUGCUACAAUGGCGCAUACAAAGAGAAGCGAACUCGCGAGAGCAAGCGGACCUCACAAAGUGCGUCGUAGUCCGGAUCGGAGUCUGCAACUCGACUCCGUGAAGUCGGAAUCGCUAGUAAUCGUAGAUCAGAAUGCUACGGUGAAUACGUUCCCGGGCCUUGCACUCCCCGCCCGUCA
rnacentral:rRNA from 1 species